rnacentral:rRNA from 1 species
CAGUAGCCACGGGAAUACGGAGGGAGCUAGCGUUGUUCGGAAUUACUGGGCGUAAAGCGCACGUAGGCGGUUAUUCAAGUCAGAGGUGAAAGCCCGGGGCUCAACCCCGGAACUGCCUUUGAUACUGUUUGUCUUGAGUUCGAGAGAGGUAAGUGGAACUGCGAGUGUAGAGGUGAAAUUCGUAGAUAUUCGCAAGAACACCAGUGGCGAAGGCGGCUUACUGGCUCGAAACUGACGCUGAGGCGCGAAAGCGUGGGGAGCGAACAGGAUUAGAUACCCGUGUAGUCCCUGUCUCUUAUAC